rnacentral:lncRNA from 1 species
AAAAAAGCAUAUGAAGAGUCCGAUAAUGGCCGGUCUUUAAAGCCCUUAAGAAAGAGGAUUAAGUCAUCGAUGGAAAUCCGAUAACGCUUUUCUUUUUGCUCCGCGAGCAAGGAGCGAGCUAAGUAAAUCUUACCUGAAAAUGAGUGAGAUUCGAUUAUUUUUCCUUUGUAGUUUUUGUGUUGUCAUUUUUUUUUCCCUUCUUCUCUAUGAUCCCAAAACUUCACAUAAUACGUAU